ACGGCCAUCUUAGGCUGAAAGCACCAUAUCCCGUCUGCUCUGUGAAGUUAAGCAACCGACCCCGGUUGGUGUAGUGGUCUAGCCACUCACCCCGGGACCGGGAGGUUGUGAGUUCGAGUCCCGCAAGGGGC
rnacentral:rRNA from 2 species